GAAGGCCAGGCUGAAGACUUUGCCGGAUUAGCUGAGAGGUGGUGCAUGGCCGUCGUCAGUUCGUACUGUGAAGCAUCCUGUUAAGUCAGGCAACGAGCGAGACCCACGCCCACAGUUGCCAGCGUACUCUCUGGAGUGACGGGUACACUGUGGGGACCGCCGCUGCUAAAGCGGAGGAAGGAAUGGGCAACGGUAGGUCAGUAUGCCCCGAAUAUCCCGGGCUACACGCGAGCUACAAUGGUUGGUACAAUGGGUAUCUACCCCGAAAGGGGACGGGAAUCUCCUAAAACCAAUCUUAGUUCGGAUUGAGGGCUGCAACUCGCCCUCAUGAAGCUGGAAUCCGUAGUAAUCGCGUUUCAACAGAACGCGGUGAAUACGUCCCUGCUCCUU
rnacentral:rRNA from 1 species